rnacentral:tRNA from 1 species
GGUCCGAUGGUGAAGCGGUUUAACACUGCAGUUUGCAAAACUGCCACUCGUGGGUUCGAAUCCCACUCGGACCU